GGGCCCAUAGCACAGCUGGUAGCGCGCUACAUUCGCAUUGUAGAGGUCGGGAGUUCGAGUCUCCUUGGGUCCACCA
rnacentral:tRNA from 1 species